UACGUAGGGUGCGAGCGUUAAUCGGAAUUGCUGGGCGUAAAGCGUGCGCAGGCGGUUCGUUAAGACAGAUGUGAAAUCCCCGGGCUUAACCUGGGAACUGCAUUUGUGACUGGCGAGCUAGAGUAUGGCAGAGGGGGGUAGAAUUCCACGUGUAGCAGUGAAAUGCGUAGAGAUGUGGAGGAACACCGAUGGCGAAGACAGCCCCCUGGGCCAAUACUGACGCUCAUGCACGAAAGCGUGGGGAGCAAACAGG
rnacentral:rRNA from 1 species